GGCAGGGGCAGCCCCAGAGACUCGCGUGGCUUUGCAGCAACAAGGCUCCAUCUCCAGGUCUGUCCUUGGGGACGGAGAGAGAACUAGGGUUCAUGUAGGUGAGCGCUGCCUGGCGUCCUGACCUUUGCAGCAGGUCUGCUUCUGGAAAUGCACCCACCAAACACCAGCGCAACCCACAGACAGCGCGAUGAAUCAGCUUAGCUGCUCCGGGUGAAUCACGAUUGACCUAGUUUUACAGCACGGGAUUUUAAAACCAGCUUCCCUGCCUCUGUGUCGUCCGGGAGUCAGCCUGGAGCGGAGCCCUGGUGAAGCCACAGCUGUAAGUUCUGCCAGGGGCUCCAUAUGCACUCUGCUGGAGUAGCUGCCAGCAGGAUAGGCUCAACAAAUUCAUCCCAGGCUGCUCUGGCCACCCCUCACCGGUAACCAGUAACCAGCAGGUCCCCAGUGCAUGUAUGUGCAUAUUGGGAACCAUCUGGCCAGAUUCUGGGCUUGCUUCUGCUAUCAUAGACCUGAAGAGAAUCUGCCCCUCCCACUGCUGGUAUGCUACAGUGCACAUGGCUUCCCCUAGUGCUACAGGAUGGGGGCAGCUUUCUAAGCCAGCGAUUUCCAUGGUAGGUUUGGCACAGAAGAUAAACCCCCUGCUUCCACCAGUUCCUCCCCCGCCUCUCUGGAGUCUCUUCACUGAUAGCCACCUUUAAAACAACACUCCAGUCUUUGCUCUCCGUUACACCGAUGUAAAACUGGUCACUUGCUGUACUCUGAAAGGAGGAUUAGACCCAUUCGUGUCCUUCCUACUGUGAUCCCCACAACGCUGGCAAAUUAGCAAUUCUUAGCGCACGGCUACAGCCAAAAGAUCUCACUAAUCCAUGCGAAGCUCCCUGAAAAUUGCUGCUGUGGUCAGGAAAGGACCCCUGCCAACUCACAAGCAACAGUGAGAGGAAGAGGUUGGAUGGUGGAAGGGAAUCUGUGUAGCUGGGGAAAUGAGUGAAUGUGACAACAGGAUGCCCAUUCACACUCCAGCCACUCACAGCCCGACCACCAAAUUGCUAGACAGCACAAACGAACUGAAAUCCUAUGAGUCAUGCGGAUUGGAGCUACCAGAUGGUGUAAAAACUUAUUCCAGCUGUACAGUAUGGAAAACGGACAAUGACAGGAAAAUAUUAAUGCAACAUCGGCCUAAGAUCGAAAAGACUCCCAUGGCCAUAUUGUUCUGGUUUAGAGGAGAUCAUUAACGACAGUAACAUUGUCAUGCCUGGGCCAAAGGGUGCUCCAGCACACUGCCACAGUGAUUGAGUCGAUGUAGCUCACAGGGAAGAAGUAGCUAGUGCAAGAUUUUUGUGCCUGUGUGAAACUGGACCCUUUGUGAGACAAACAUCUGCCCUGAUUAAUAUAUGGAAUCCUGUUAAAAUAUUGAACUUAAGGUGCAGACUAACAUGGAUUCGUUGCAGCAAAGCUUGAAGGCAAAACUCCAAUUACUGAAUGUGCUUAGUGCUGAGAAGGGAGCCAGCAACCCACGCCAGGAGCGGGACGUACCGUCACCAUCCCUGCCAGCCUUAACUGACCUGUGGGAAUGUUAGAGAAAAAUGUUACGUUUUUCAACACGCUGCAAGCUGUUCAGAAGAAAAGUGGAGAAUUUGAUACUCGUCUAAGCCAAUGUCUACACUACCACAAAAAGUCAACCGAAUGUAUGCACCUUAAGCUAUGUGAAUAAUGUUGCUGGAGUUGACAUACCUUAAGGUGAUUGUUGUACACUCACUAUUGAGAUACUGAAGACAUUAGAAUCCUUUAUUGCACAGGUGCAAGAAUGACAAAUUGAAUUACUAGAAAUCCCAGAGCACUUGGAUAUCCAGCAACUGGAAAUGUGGCUUUGAGGGUUCCUCCAUCCACACUACUGGAGCAGCUCAGAUCAGAAGAAAAGGGAUGUGGGGUCAACCUGUUCCAAGAGAUCCUGCCAGCCUCUGGUGCUGCACACACUGAGUAGAGGGCUUGCAGAAGCACCUUUGCGGGGAGAGUGGAAAGGGUUAGUGCAGAGAGGAGAAACAAAGAAGAAAAGGACAGAAACGUGCAGCAGUUCAUAUUAGCGCUCUCAGCGCCAGACGGACAUGUUGGAGACUUCAGGUGCAAGUAACCCUGGUUUGCCUCCCGUUGCAGUCUAUUGAUAACUGCAUUCUGAGACCUCUCUACACUUCCUGCCCCCCACAUUCUCCACAUGUUUCUGUGUUAUUGCAGUUCUACCACAUCACCCUGAGGGAGAGUACACGCAGUCAGAACUGCAUAUAUGCUGAUGAAUGAGACACAUUUUGUGUGUGACAUGAGAAUGGCUAUUCUUUCCCCUUCAAAAGUUAUUUUCCCUGUAUUUGUAGAGUUUCAUUCAGUUACAGUUAUUUUUGGUUUUAUGAGUUUGUAAUAAAAGUCUAUUUAUGAAAA